rnacentral:sRNA from 1 species
ACCGGGUAUGGUGGCACAUGCCUGUAAUCCCAGGAACUCCAGAGGCUGAGACAGGAGAAUCAUGAAUUCAAAGCCAGCCCCAGCAAAGCAACUGAGUGAGAUCCUGUCUCUA